ensembl:lncRNA
GUUUCUGAUAAAGUGGCCUGAAUAACAACAAAGGUCAAUACUGAAGAAAGAGGAAUGUGUAGCCUUAAUCAACCCACACAGUCCCUGCAGGGCGUAAUCUCUCCUCCCAGUUAGAGUGGCACUAUAAUCAGAUCACAGGUCAAACAGUGAUUACAGGAGGAUAUUGUGGGAUUUGCCUGACCUAGAACACUUAGCAUGUCACCUUCCUGCAUGUGCUCCUGUGGAGAUGUUUGUAUGUUUGUAUGUUUGUUUAUUUUUGUAUUUUUUUUUCUCCCCUGGGGAAUCCUCAGUGGUGAGGGUAUCCCACGGACACUCGCGCUAUGUCAGGCAUCCACAAUCAGGUCAGUCCUACGUUGCUCUUGGCAGCAGCUCGGCUUCGGCACAGAAACAGCAGCAUCAUCUGGUCUGUGUGUUGUGGGUGGACGUGACCUGUGACUCUGCACUGAAAACAUGAGCUACAGCAGCAGCACAUGAAAACACCACAUCACUGCGAAGUGAUAUGACCGUUUACAGUGGUGGGGUGAGUUGCAGAGCAGGUCGUCUUCGUUAGCCAGAUAAAUUAAGCUGGAAAGCCUCUGAAUCGGCCUUCUGACCUCGGUGGCGAGGUCAGCAGUGUGGAGAGAACAAGGGAUCUGUUUUAGCAUUCACUGGACUCUGUGGUUAAUGUAAUACUGAUUCAUUUGUGACUGUACAAGCUAAAAAAGUUUUCUUGGUGUCAGUUCUUGGUACAACACCAUACACCCAUGAAAAAGGUUUUGCAAGGUUCUAGUGAAGGUUACAUAGAGAACCUUGGGCUCUCAAGGAAUUGUUUUAAUGCAUUAAUAGUCCUUUGCAUGGUUAAAUAGUUGUCUAUGAAGACUGUUGUGUACAGCUCUUUGUAAAAUAGUUCUUUCUUUGAACAAUAGUUCUAGAUAGCACCAAAAACGUUUCCACUAUUUUCUUUAUUUUGGUGCUAUAUAGAACGUUAUACAUAAAACCUCGGGCACUCUUUGGAAUGUGUCAUUGAUUUUUUGCAUGGUUAGAUGGUUCUACUCUAUGAUAGAAAUGAUUCUUUAAAGAACCUUUUUAAAAUGUAAAAUUAUUCUAUAUAGCCCCACCAAAAGGUUUCCAUUAUGAUUCCAUUAUAGUCAAAGAACCUUUGUUUUGGUAUAUUGAACACAUCCUUCUAUGAGUGGGGUUCUGCAGCAGGGAACUCAGCAGGGAACUCAUUUCAAUGUAUCAGUGGCUCUUUGCAUGGCUGAAUAGUUUUUUUUCGCAAUGACGGAGAUGGUUCUACACAGAACCUUUUUAAAAAUUAAAAUGUAUAUUUCUGUAUAGCACCACAAAAGGUUUCCACCAUUUUAUCACAUCAAAGAACCUUUUUUUAGUACUAUACAGAACAAGUCAUGCUAACAGUGUGGUUCCUCUAAGGUUCUUUGGUAUAGGUAAUCCUGGGCACUCAUUUGAACGCAUUUGGUUCUACUCUAAGAUUGAGGUGAUUCUUUAAAGAACCUUUUAAAAAAUGAAAAUGGUUCUUUAUAUCACCACAAAAAGGUUUCCACUAUUUUCACAAGUCAAAGAACCUUUAUUUCGGGACUGUAUUGAACACAUCCUGCUAAGAGUAUAGUUCUUCAAAGGUUCUUUACUAAAGUUAAUGUCAUAUAUAGAACCCACUCAUUUGAACGCAUCAGUGGUUCUUUGCAUGGUUAACUGUUUUUUCUCAAUAUUGGAGAUGGUUCUAUAAAGAAUAUUAUAUUAAAUAUUAAUAUAUUUAAAAUUCUUUCUGCAUAGCACCACAAAAGGGUUAUACUGUUUUAACAAAUCAAAGAACAAUUUUUUUGGUACUGAACAGAACCUUUUUGCUAAAAGUCUUCAUCAGUAAAGGACGUGGUUAAAAUAAAGAACCACAAGCACUCAAAUAUCCAUUUGAAUGCAUAAAUGGUUCUUUGCAUGCUUAAAUGGUUCUUCUCUGUGAUGGAGAUGGUUCUUUAAACAACCUUUUUAAAAAUUCAAUUGGUUCUAUACAGCACCACCAAAGGGUUCUACCAUUUAUUUGUACUGUGUGGAACGUUUUUUGCUAAAAGUCUUCAUUAGUAAAGAUAGCAGUUAAAUAAAGAACCACAAGUACUCAAAUAACUAUUUUAAUGCAUAAAUUGUUCUUUGCAUGCUUGCUUAGCUCUUUUCUAUGAUAGAGAUGGUUAUUGUUAUUAAACUCUUGGUACAUUAUAGAAGCCUCUUUUUUUUGCUUAGUGUAGCUGAACCACAGUGGGUUCCACCAAGAUCAU